ACUGCUUUUCUGAGAGGCCAGGUGGCAGGAUGUGGGACGACUCCAGCUGACAAAGACAGUCUAACCGUGGGGUAGGGGCUGGAGCAGGGGCCAGCGACCCACGUCUACAUGCAUACUUCUCUUACACUGCUGCUACUGGAAAAGCUGAACCCCGCGCCAGGACCCCAGCCCCCUGCAAGGACCCGUGAGCGUCUGGGAAGCUGUCUCUGGGACUGAAGCCCCCCACCUCCGCCGGGCUGGCGGCCACUGCGGUACCCUACGCCCCGUCGGGCUGGUCCUGCACAAUUUGGGAAAAAGCCGCAGCGCUUCUGCAAGGUCUACGUGGCCAUGAGCAUGCAACGCUUGGCUCCAAAAAAGACACGAAAGGAGCAAAGCGCCAACGACCACCCGAUCGGAGGGCCCGAGGGGCGCCUCUUCACCAGUCAGCUGCAGCUUAAGUUCCGUGCAUUAUCUGAAAGGAACAGCUGGCUGGAGGUAUCCAGGGCUGUCACUCCAACCUCUGCAGCAGUGACCUCAACUCCCAGCACUUCAAAACCCAGACAGAAACGUCCAACAAACUCCCAGUCCAGGAGCGCUGCAAAACCAACGCCAGUCUAGUUUGGGGUCUCUAUAAUCCUGCUCCUUUGGCUGCCAGCCAUCUCCAUAAAAAAAGAAUUUGAAAGGCUUCCAUUCUUUCAGAGACCUGUUUCCCGGGACUGGCUGCAAGGGAGAGAUGCACUGACCUUCUGCCAGGUAUAGAACUAUUGAAUGGUACAGUUUGAGAUCUUCGAAACCAUCAGGACUGAUCAUUUUCUGGCUACUUUCUACAUAGGAAUCCUAGAGUUCCUUGGAGAGGAUAUGAAGGUUAUUCUCAGGCCAUGCAGAUGGGCAAGAAAGGAUGUGCGUCCAUGGUUCCUCUUCAAAUCCAACCAAAACAGCCUUGCUUCCGUUGGCUUUAUAUAAUACUGCAACUCUUGAUAAUCUGAUUUAACACAAAUUUCCUCAUUGAGUUUCUCCUCAUGAAGAAACGGCCUCAGUGAGGUAAAUCGGAAUGCACAGGAGCACAUAGCAGGUUAGUGCAGACCAGAAAUCAAACCCAGGCUUUCUGACUGCUCAAUAGACCACAAUCUACCAUGCUACCAUGGAAACUUUAAAACAGAUGAAAGUAAAAACAAACAAACAACAACUUAAAAAAACAAAAACAAAAACAAAAGCAAAACCCAGAGCCUCUCUAGGAAAUACCAACGUGCUUUUGCCAAGUGGGGUUUCUCUCACUUCAUAAGAGCAGUAAACACUAAACCAAGGGAAUGUGAAUUUAGAGGUUAGAAAAGAUAACCAGAGAUUUGGCCGUGCGUGGGGCUCAUGCCUGUAAUCCCAGCACUUUGGGAGGCUGAGGCUGGUGGGUUGCCUGAGGUCAGGAGUUUGAGACCAGCCUGGCCAACAUAGUGAAACCCUGUCUCUACUAAAAAUACAAAAAUUAGCUGGGUGUGGUGGCGUGCACCUGUAAUCCCAGCUACUAGGGAGGCUGAGGCAGGAGAAUCGCUUGAACUGGAGAGGUGGAGGUUGCAGUGAGCCGAGAUGGUGCCAUUGCACUCCAGCCCGGGCAAGAAGAUUGAAAUUCCAUCUCAAAAAAAAAAAAAAAAGAAGAAGAAGAAGAAAAGAUGCCAGAGAUUUGGCGGGGUGCCGGGCUCAUGCCUGUAAUCCCAGCACUUUGGGAGGCCAAAUGGACAGAUCACUUAAAGUUAGGAGUUCCAGAAAAGAUGCCAGAGGUUGGGCCUUUACAUUGUUUUGUAAAUUCGUCAAACCUUAAUCUUAUUUAACUUCCCCACCUAUACAAAAAUUAAUGCAGUAAUUGCUUUUUAAGGAAGCAUUCCAAAGGCCAAAUAAUUCAUAUAUGUCAAGUACCCUGGGAUUCAGGAAAGAAAAAUUCUCUAUAGCUCUAAAGCAAGGAUUAUAAUUUGAGGUUUCCUGACAGUUUUUUUUAAGAAAAGAAAUACCAACCUUUCUUUUCUGGGCCAAAUGCCAAGGUAGGUAAUAACCCCUUGCCCAUUUUCUUUCCCCAAGCUGUUUUAACUAGAUAAGAGCUCUGCCUUCAUUUCCUUUUGUGAACUGACUUGGGAUGUUGCCACAUGCCCUUCAACUACUGUCAAUGCUCUAGUUUGCUGAGUGCUUUCCCCUUCAGAAUGGAAAAGGUUUUGGCAUAAAUAUCUAGCUUUCUUCAAGGUACAAAAUGCUUUCCAAGGAGCAGAGGACAGAGGGAACAAACUUUCAUGUUUCCCAAUUGUAUUAGUCUGUUCUCAUGCUGCUAAUAAAGACAUACCCAAGACUGUGUAAUUUAUAAAGGAAAAAGGUUUUACUGACUCACAGUUCCACAUGGCUGGGGAGGCCUCACAAUCAUGGUGGAAGAUGAAGGAAGAGCAAAGGGAUGUCUUCCAUGGCCAGCAAAAAGAGAAUGAAAGCCAAGGGAAGGAGAAAACACCUUAUAAAAUCAUCAGAUCUCAUGAGACUUAUUCACUACCAUGACAACGGUAUGGGUGAACUGCCCCCAUGAUUCAGUUAUCUCCCACCGGGUCCCUCCCACAAAAUGUGGGAAUUAUGGGAGCUACAAUUCAAGAUGAGAUUUGGGUGGGGACAGAGCCAAACCAUAGCACCAAUACUAGAUCCCUCAGCUUCAAGGUGGCUCCAGUGAUCCUAAGAGGAUCAAGGAAGCCCUACCUCCCUGCUUGUCCUGGAUGUCUCUGACACAUGUUAAGGGAAAAGCAUUAAUAAAGUGCUCAAGAAACAAUUGUUCAAUAGGUCAGUCUUAUAGUCAAUACCUCAUCCCAUGCUCUGUCCCCUACUCUUUGAAAAACUGCCCAAAGAAACAAUGGAUCCACGGAGUCACAAAAACAGGGCAUCCAGUGACCCUCCCCAUCUUACCAGCAAUGUGACUUUCCCACAGUAUAACGACAGCAGUGCCCAGAGCCCAAUACAAGCAGGGCUCUACACUGAGACAGAGCUGAGUUCUAGUAGCAACUACCCUCCUUAUAGCAGUGUUAUUUUAGGCAAGUUUCUCAGCUUCUGGAAGGUUCUUUUCUCAGGCUUACAUACUUUUUACCCGAAAAGAUCUUGGAGUCGUCCAUAUCAGCACAAGCAAUCUACAUUAUUAGUUUUUUUAAUGGCUGCACAGCAUUCCAUGAUAUGGCUGUACCAUUACUUAACUAUCGAUGAACAUUUAGGCAGUUUCCAGUCUCUUUCUGCAGGAGCCAAUGCUGCAAUGUGGUGGGUCAUAACUUUUUCUUUUUUUCAAAUGUGGUCUCACUAUUUCUUCCAGGCUGGAGUGUAGUGGUAUGAUCACAGCUCACUGCAGCCUCGAACUCCUGGACUCAAACAAUCCUCCUGUCUCAGCCUCCAGAGCAACUGGGAGUACAGGUGUGUGCCACCAUGCCUGACUAAGUUUUUAAAUUUUUUGUAGAGAUGGGGUCUUGCUAUAUUGACCAGGCUGGUCUUGAACUUCUGGCCUCAAGAAAUCCUCCCACCUGGGCCUCCCAGAGUGCUGGGAUUACAGGAAUGCACCACUGUGCCCAGCCCUAAAUAACUAUUUUUAUUUCCCUUUCUGUAACCGCUCAUCUUUUGUGCAUUUUUCCUUGGGUAUUGGCCUUCUUAUCAAAGUUUAAGAACUGUUUAUAUAUAGGGAUUAACCCUUAGUCUGUUGUAUGAAUUGCAAAUAUACAUGUAUUUUUAUUUGUAUAUGCAAAGUUUGUCUUUUAUCUUUGUAUAUGGGAUAGUUUUCCAAACACAGUUUUAUUUUAUUUUAUUUUUCAUCUUGCAUGUCUUUCCAAAGUACCAAGCAGAGUUUUUUUAAAAGUUGUUUUAUGGCUUCUGGGUUUUUUAAGUCAUAUUUAGAAAGAUCUUUCCCACUCUGAAAUUAAAAAAAUAAAUAAAUAAAAUCUCCCAAUUAAAAAAAAUUUGUGACUUUGUUUUUCAUAUUUAAAUAUUUAUUCCAUCUGGAAUUUAUUUUAUUUUAAGCUGUAAAGUAGAGACCUCAUUUUAUUGUAUUUCUCCAUAUGGCCACCCAGUUGUUACAAUACCAUUUACUAAAUAAUACAUCAAUUG
rnacentral:lncRNA from 1 species